rnacentral:rRNA from 2 species
UGUGACCUCAAAUCAGGUAGGACUACCCGCUGAACUUAAGCAUAUCAAUAAGCGGAGGAAAAGAAACUAACAAGGAUUCCCCUAGUAACUGCGAGUGAAGCGGGAAAAGCUCAAAUUUAAAAUCUGGCGGUCUUUUGGUCGUCCGAGUUGUAAUCUAGAGAAGUGUUAUCCGCGCUGGACCGUGUACAAGUCUCCUGGAAUGGAGCAUCAUAGAGGGUGAGAAUCCCGUCUUUGACAUGGACUACCAGGGCUUUGUGAUGCGCUCUCAAAGAGUCGAGUUGUUUGGGAAUGCAGCUCAAAAUGGGUGGUAAAUUCCAUCUAAAGCUAAAUAUUGGCGAGAGACCGAUAGCGAACAAGUACCGUGAGGGAAAGAUGAAAAGAACUUUGGAAAGAGAGUUAAACAGUACGUGAAAUUGCUGAAAGGGAAACGCUUGAAGUCAGUCACGUUGGCCAGGGAUCAACCUUGCUUUUGCUUGGUGCACUUCCUGGUUUGACGGGCCAGCAUCAAUUUUGACUAUUGGAUAAAGGUUAAGAGAAUGUGGCAUCUUUGGAUGUGUUAUAGCUCUUGGUUGCAUACAAUGGUUGGGAUUGAGGAACUCAGCACGCCGCAAGGCCGGGUUUUAAACCACGUACGUGCUUAGGAUGCUGGCAAUAUGGCUUUAAUCGACCCGUCUUGAAACACGGACCAAGGAGUCUAACAUGCCUGCGAGUGUUUGGGUGGAAAACCCGAGCGCGUAAUGAAAGUGAAAAGUUGAGAUCCCUGUCGUGGGGAGCAUCGACGCCCGGACCAGACCUUUUGUGACGGUUCCGCGGUAGAGCAUGUAUGUUGGGACCCGAAAGAUGGUGAACUAUGCCUGAAUAGGGUGAAUCCAGAGGAAACUCUGGUGGAGGCUCGUAGCGAUUCUGACGUGCAAAUCGAUCGUCAAAUUUGGGUAUAGGGGCGAAAG